rnacentral:rRNA from 1 species
UACGAAGGGGGGCUAGCGUUGCUCGGAAUCACUGGGCGUAAAGGGUGCGUAGGCGGGUCUUUAAGUCAGGGGUGAAAUCCUGGAGCUCAACUCCAGAACUGCCUUUGAUACUGAGGAUCUUGAGUUCGGGAGAGGUGAGUGGAACUGCGAGUGUAGAGGUGAAAUUCGUAGAUAUUCGCAAGAACACCAGUGGCGAAGGCGGCUCACUGGCCCGAUACUGACGCUGAGGCACGAAGGCCAGGGGAGCAAACGGGG